rnacentral:lncRNA from 1 species
AAAACUGCUUCCCAGCCAUUAUCUCAUUUGAUCCUCACAGCAACUGGGUAUUAAUGUUGUGCUCAUUUUCCAGAUGAAAAAACUGAGGCCCAGAACUUUUGAGGCUAUGACCACUCAACUGUGAGUAAUAGAGCUGGAAUUCAAAAGGAAGUUUUCUGACUCUAAGCCCACAGCUCUAAACAGGAGGUCAUGAGAAUAAGGAAGCAAAAGUCCAUCAGAACAGUAAAGCGGGAGAAGCAGCAGAGCCGAGGGGAGGACAGCAAAUGUGGCAGAGACGGAGCUGGGGGCCUCCAGGUUAAACAUAAUAAAAGCUCCUGAGCAGCAAGGUUGCUCAUGGCAUAGCUGAGGGGGAAAUAGUUUUAUCUGUUGUGAAGAUAGCAUAGUCCUUCCUGGCUGCAGAGAGAGGGAAAGGUGAGCUCAAGAACAAAUCUCCCCACUUCUUACCUAAGAAGCCAAAGAAAGAGGAAAAACCUGAGCUUCUCCACUUACUCUUUCCUCCACCUGAGACUUUGGAACCCAGGUCGGUAUCCUCUGUGAGUUCCUGUCCCCAAGCCUGUGUGGGAGUCCAGCAUCAAGGGGACUGGUCCUCAGGAUCUCCUUUCCCAGCACUGAUUCAAGGCACCAAGUUGGAACAGACAGUCAUCUGGAGUCUCGGAGAGGGGCAAGCGGAAGAGGAGGGGCAGGUGGACCAGAACGUCCCUUCUGGUCAUCUUUUCCAAUCAGCAUGGUGA